AGAAGCCGAGUUCAGACCAUGCAGAAACACGAUGUUCAUAGAUACAUUUAUAUUUGGAACUAACCCACACUUCUUUACUGUGCGUGGGCGCUCAGAAAUGAGUGUAAAUAUAUGGUAUAUGCGUGCAUUAUUGCGGAAGUCCUUACAAGUAGGUUGUAUCCGAAAUGGGAGGUGUUUACAGGCCUAAUGCGCAUAAUGAAUUGCCUUAGUGGUCUCCUCGCUGUGAGUGUACUACUGUUUUUUCCAACAGGCCUGGGAUUUUAUGGCACAGUUGGUAGGUAGCGCGGAGCCACUGGGCUGCUUGUGAGAAUACUACUGUUUCUUCACAGCUAGUUACAACGAAUGUCUUGUUUCUCAGUGGUGUAGUGGUACCUGGAGAAAUGGGUAUAACCCACUAUAUUUUGCCAACAACUUACCAAACGGCCUUCCUAGCGAAGGAAAGACGCCCCGAGUGAAAAAUUCAGUUUUCCUAUAGUUUUUUUUGCAGGGUUUCACUGUCAAUAUCAAACUUUUUUUAUAUAGCAAAACAGCAAAAAUUGCGCACCUAGCACGUUUAGGCUAACUGUGUUUAUGUACUGUACAACAUUGUAGGCCUACAGUGUACAUGUGAUUUUGCUAAACAAAUACACCCCCGAUUGAUACAAAUCAUCAUGACGUAAUCUACCAGGUCAUCAGGCUGCGGAUUAUCCCGCACACCUGUCACCAUCGGCUCAUGCACCAGCGCCUCAUGACACUCACCUGGACUCAAUCAACUCGUAGAUUAUCUUCCCUAUGUCUGUCACCUUGGUUCUUUUCUCAGGUGUUAAUGACUCUGUUUCAUGUCGGUGCGUUGUUUGUGUUCAUUGUGUCUAUUUAUUAAAACACUCACUCCCUAAA